rnacentral:rRNA from 1 species
UUAAGUUGAUCCUGGCUCAGGACGAACGCUGGCGGCGUGCCUAACACAUGCAAGUCGAGCGGAGAUAAUGGUAACUGUAUCUUAGCGGCGGACGGGUGAGUAACACGUGGGCAACCUGCCUCAGAGUGGGGGAUAACACCGAGAAAUCGGUGCUAAUACCGCAUAACGUACGGAUUUCGCAUGAUAACCGUACCAAAGGAGUGAUCCGCUUUGAGAUGGGCCCGCGGCUGAUUAGCUAGUUGGUGAGGUAAUGGCUCACCAAGGCGACGAUCAGUAGCCGACCUGAGAGGGUGACCGGCCACACUGGAACUGAGACACGGUCCAGACUCCUACGGGAGGCAGCAGUGGGGAAUAUUGCGCAAUGGGGGAAACCCUGACGCAGCAACGCCGCGUGGAGGAAGAAGGUCUUCGGAUUGUAAACUCCUGUCUUCUGGGACGAUAAUGACGGUACCAGAGGAGGAAGCCACGGCUAACUACGUGCCAGCAGCCGCGGUAAUACGUAGGUGGCGAGCGUUGUCCGGAAUUACUGGGCGUAAAGGGCGCGUAGGCGGCUCUUUAAGUCAGAUGUGAAAACCCAGGGCUUAACUUUGGGACUGCAUUUGAAACUGAAGGGCUUGAGUGCAGGAGAGGUAAGUGGAAUUCCUAGUGUAGCGGUGAAAUGCGUAGAUAUUAGGAGGAACACCAGUGGCGAAGGCGACUUACUGGACUGUAACUGACGCUGAGGCGCGAAAGCGUGGGGAGCAAACAGGAUUAGAUACCCUGGUAGUCCACGCUGUAAACGAUGGAUACUAGGUGUGGGAGGAUCGACCUUCCGUGCCGCAGUAAACGCAAUAAGUAUCCCGCCUGGGGAGUACGGCCGCAAGGUUGAA